GGCCGCCAGAGCGGGGUAGCGGUAUGAAGAGCAACACGUCAUUUGCAAGGUUGCUAGGGAAUGAAGCUAAAGCUACCAUAGGAAUGAUGGGGAGCAGUCUGCUUGGAGGCCAAGAAAGCUGUCCAGUAUCACUUUGUGGUUCUCGACCCUCCAAAAUAAGCUGUGUGGAAAGGGUGCUUGGAGUUGACUGUUGUCAUCCUCCCCUCUGCUGUUGACUCCAGUCAGUUUAUAACAAUAACAGUCUUGUACCCAUCCUUACAGGUCAAUGUUUUCAUGUUGUAAGUCACAUGUGCUGAUGUAUCCACCUAAAGUAGCAGCGUAGUAUGUUUUCACCACUUCGACACUUUUCCCCAGAAGAUAAGUCGGAUUCAUGCUUCUUUUCUUUAAAAUCCACCACCACCACAUCACCUGUCAUCCCCUGACUUUAGUGUAACCUCUAGUGAAGAGUCAUGUGAGAAAUGAAUACAAGUUACUAAAUUACAAGAAAGAAAAUAAGUGUUAAAGGUAUAAAAGGUAUUUCUCCAACUGGGUGUUGACUGAAUACAAACAAUUACUAUUGGUAUACAAGUCAUUAUACACACACAUAUACUAAAAUACUUCCAAUUUGUAUUGAAGUAACAUAAUAAAUUUACUAAAAUCAUGUGUGUUUUUCAUUUUUAUAUUGACUACUUGGGACGUAUAUUGAAGGUUAUUCAUAUAUUAAACCUAAUCAGU